rnacentral:rRNA from 1 species
UACGAAGGGGGCUAGCGUUGCUCGGAAUCACUGGGCGUAAAGGGUGCGUAGGCGGGUCUUUAAGUCAGAGGUGAAAUCCUGGAGCUCAACUCCAGAACUGCCUUUGAUACUGAGGAUCUUGAGGACUGGAGAGGAGACUGGAAUUUACGGUGUAGCGGUGAAAUGCGUAGAUAUCGUAAGGAAGACCAGUGGCGAAGGCGGGUCUCUGGACAGUUCCUGACACUGAGGCACGAAGGCCAGGGGAGCAAACGGG